UAGGAUAGGGUGUAUUAGGUAGCACGUAGAAUUUUGAAUUCUUAGGUAUAGGUUCAAUUCCUAUUAUCCUAG
rnacentral:tRNA from 1 species